rnacentral:ncRNA from 2 species
CCAAUAGCGUAUAUUAAAGUUGUUGCAGUUAAAAAGCUCGUAGUUGAAUUUCGGGAUCAAUAUUUCGGUCAUGCCGUUGGUAUGCACUGUUAUCAUUGAUUUCUCACCUUCUAAAGAACCGUGAUGCCAUUAAUUUGGUGUUACGGGGAAUUAGGACUGUUACCUUGAAAAAAUUAGAGUGUUUAAAGCAGGCUCACGCUUGAAUACAUUAGCAUGGAAUAAUGAAAUAGGACAUCCGAUUCUAUUUUGUUGGUUUCUAGGAUCGAUGUAAUGAUUAAUAGGGAUAGUUGGGGGCAUUAGUAUUCAAUUGUCAGAGGUGAAAUUCUUGGAUUUAUUGAAGACUAACUACUGCGAAAGCAUUUGCCAAGGAUGUUUUCAUUAAUCAAGAACGAAAGUUAGGGGAUCGAAGACGAUCAGAUACCGUCGUAGUCUUAACCAUAAACUAUGCCGACUAGGGAUCGGAUGAUGUUAAUUUUUUAAUGACUCAUUCGGCGCCUUACG